rfam:Schistosoma margrebowiei strain Zambia genome assembly, scaffold: SMRZ_contig0004362
AUCCAGCUGACGAGUUCCGAAUAGGAUGAAAUGUGCAUCAAACUGCAU